GACGAACGCUGGCGGCGUGCCUAAUACAUGCAAGUAGGACGCAGUUGCGAACGGGUGAGUAACGCGUAGGUAACUACCUAUUAGAGGGGGAUAACUAUUGGAAACGAUAGCUAAUACCGCAUACUAGUAGAUGGACCUGCGUUGUAUUAGCUAGUAGGUAGGGUAAUGGCCUACCUAGGCAACGAUACAUAGCCGACCUGGGAGGGUGAACGGGCACACUGGGACUUGGAACCGGCCCAGACUCCCACGGGGAGGAGCAGUUGGGGAAUUUUGGGAAUUGGGGGAACCCUGACCGAGCAACGCCGCGUGAGUGAAGAAGGUUUUCGGAUCGUAAAGCUCUGUUGUUAAGGAAGCGGUACUUAACCAGAAAGGGACGGCUAACUACGUGCCAGCCGCCGCGGUAAUUC
rnacentral:rRNA from 1 species